GUUUGUAAAAACUCCGAGAUUAAGCCUGCUUGGGUGAGAGUAAACUCCGAGGUUAAGCAUGCUUGGGUGAGAGUAGUACCAGAAUGGGUGACCUUUUAGGAAGUCUCACCAAAUC
rnacentral:rRNA from 1 species